CACGUAGGGCGCGAGCGUUGUCCGGAAUUAUUGGGCGUAAAGAGCUCGUAGGCGGCUUGUCGCGUCGUCCGUGAAAACCCACAGCUCAACUGUGGGCUUGCGGUCGAUACGGGCAGGCUAGAGUUCGGUAGGGGAGACUGGAAUUCCUGGUGUAGCGGUGAAAUGCGCAGAUAUCAGGAGGAACACCGGUGGCGAAGGCGGGUCUCUGGGCCGAUACUGACGCUGAGGAGCGAAAGCAUGGGUAGCGAACAGG
rnacentral:rRNA from 1 species